UGGCAGCGAAAACCGUGAUAUCUGCAAGGAACGUUUAAAUGUGACACAUGAAAUAUUGCAGACGUGUAAUGUGCUUUCACUCAGUCGCAGCCUUCAACGUUGGAUUAUAUAACAAUUCUUAUCUACGAUAAGAAAGUUGUAAUUACGAAAAAUUUUUGUUACCGGAGGAUAAUUUUAAAACAGACUAUAUUUACCUGAACACAGAAGUGUGUAUAACAUUUGGUAAAUUAUCCACCAAUUUCUGAACAUCCUGAAACAAUUAUGAAAAAUUAUGGAACAAAGACAUGAUAAUAUACAGGAUACAAUGCAGCGUAAACAUGGAUUGUUAUCUUACCGGAGAGUAUUAGCUGGCUAUAAUGGAGGAGUUGUUUGAUUGAGGCGCCUGCCGG